UCGAACGUUGAUUCGUACAAUCAGAUCUUUGCGUCUGUGGCCAGCUUGUUUGUAAUGUCAUUUUCUCUUGUGCGUGUGAUCCAAUACAAUGCUGUUUGUGUGAUCUAAAAUUUAGAUGCAGGAAAUCUCAUCCUAUAUCCUGCUUUUAUCUGUUUAUCUGAACAUAGCUUUGUACAGGUGUGUGUGUAUGUUGGGGGGGGGUUACAUUCAAGGGCUGUAAUUCUGUUUUUCUUUACUAUAUAUCUUAUGCUGUCUAGGUGCUUAAAAGAGAAAAGAGACUAUUACAUGAACAGCUGUUACAGCCAAACAAAGACAACGUGCUCCUGGAUCACAGUGUUUGAGUGAAACAAGCACCUCUUCCAGUACAGUCAGUACAUAUGGAGCUGGAGAUGAUGCAAGAGCAGAAGAAAAGUGUGAAGACUGAGCUCCUAAGCCCUAUAUGUGGGAUAUCACAGGCCACAGGCGGGUCCCAUAUGCUCUGCCCCAUACAGGACACUGACAUGACAUCUGAUGAUGCCUGGGCUGUAACUGAGUUAUUGGUGAGUGCAUAUUAAUAUGAAG